UUUCUUUUCACUAGAGAGAGAAAGUGAAACCCUAAACUAUUCCAUCUAAACUAGCUCCUAUACCAUCAAAAGCAAGAGAAAUUAUACUAUUCCAUUCUAGCAAACAUUGGUGUUCAAUUGGUGCUCGUGGACUACUUAGAGGAGCAACACUUUGGGCUCUUGGAUCUUCAAAGCUUGCAUACAACAGGAAAAUCACGCUACAAAGGGAUGGGAGAAAAUGGAUACGGAGCAAAAUCAAAGGCCUGUGUGUUUUAGCAUGGUUUAUAUGGCAUUGAAGGAACCAAGCUACUUUUGCGGAUAAUCGUAUUGCAAAGAAGGUUGUUGUUGAUAGAGCGAGUAAGCUGGCGACAGAUUAUGGAGUAUAUAACACGAGCAUAUAUAUGGAGCUACUGCCACCCCGCAAACCAGUAGCUUGAGAUGGUGGAUGCCACCUGAGGGUGUGAUUGAAGUAAAAGCUGAUGCGACUGUGGGUGAAGAUGGAUGGGUGAGUCCGGACUCCAGAGGCUAUUGCGAUGGACUUCUUAGGGAAGAUUUUGUGGUCAGCUACCCGCCAAUGUCGUGCUUGGUGGCCACUUGAAGUGUCGGAAGGAAAGACCGCGCUGUUUGCAGCAAAAUUAGCUCACAAUCACAAAACUUCUUGGGUGAUGAUUAAAACUGAUUGUCAAAGCUUGGUAUAUAUGCUCUCAAGGGAGCUAUCAUGUCUUGUUAGUAUGUAAAAACUUUUUGUCUGCGGUUUGGUCUCAUGUGCAUAGGAAUAGCAAUUGUGUGGUAUAUCACCUCGCAAGAGUUAUUCCUUUUGGUAUUGAGCAACGGUGUGAGUGGUUCCCCCAAGUUGCGUCUUACAUGCUUAUGGACGUUUUGUCCCUCUCUUAAGUUAUGCACAACACCUUUCCUCUCAAAGAAACUCAUUAAUAAAACUACUCGUAUUAGUAUCAAAUUUUAAGAACAGUCAUUUCAUGAACCUUCAAUCUUGAGUACAUGAUGGACAGUGAAGUUUCUAUUACAUGGACAUUGACAUGGAAUUUUCUUAUAAAAUUUCUCAUAAUUAUUUUACGAUUAUCACAAUUUAUUACCAGUCUAUAGUCAUUUGUACGGGGCUUUGACGCAUUCUUGAUGUUACUGUGCUUUUUAUCUGAAUGGAUUUAGUCUAGUUGGAAGUACUGCUUUGGUUCACCUCAAUAAUCCACUGAAAUUUGUCAAUGGCUAUGUUCUUCCUUUCUCACUCGAGUAUUGUGUAUCAAGUAGGUUUUUUUUAUCAUUCUUUUUCUCUAAUACUAUUAUCUUACUUCUUGCCGAAAGAACAAAAAAAAAAGAAUAAACACAAAAAUGGAUUUACAUUAGCACAAAGCAGUUUGAUAUAUGUUUACAGACACGUAAAUGGUAUGUUUCUGUAUAGAAAUUAAUCCUACGCUGGCCCCAAAAUCAGCAUUGGCUGUAUAUUUUUGGUGAACUACAUUGGCUGUAUGAUCUGCAUAAUAUGAGAUUGUAAGAAUCAAUAUUCAUCCCAGUUCGUAGAACUAAUUACAGAACAAAGAAAAACUCGAAAUGAAAGGAAUAGAAAGGAAUACAUCAAUGCAUUACUUACUUCGUAAAAGACCAGAAAACUAGAAAAUGCAAAUAUAAGUACCUUCAGUUUCUCUGUCUGGUAAGUAAUACAAGGACGCCAAAGCCUACCAUGACUGCAAUCUUCAUUACCUGCAAAAAUUUGGAGAAUUUAAAUACUCUUUACGUGUUCCAAGUACAGUUUUGUGUAAUAAACUGAUGGAGAUUGAAGUCGAAACAGAACCUGCCCGGCUGGUCCAGGAAUAGAUAUAUCGUUAUGUCUUCUGCUGGACUCUGGUUUUUUACUUUGUGUAUGAUCACCAGUAUCCGGGAGCUGAAAUCGUAAUGAGGAAACAUAUUAGAGAAUUUCCUAAAAAAAAGAGUAAAUAAUUUUGAGGAGAUAACACAUAGCUAAAUGAAAAAUUUUAUAUAUGGGGAAGCUCUAAUUUUUCCUACUAGUAAUUCUGAAACAGCAUAUCACACAGCAAUAAGCAUGUAAACUGACAUUUGCACUUGUUGCUUCAACCAACUCGACUAACUCAUUUCAAUCAAUACUAAUGCAAGUUCUUUUGAAAAAGGUGCUAAGUUUGAUUAUUAGAAUUUCUGCCAAAUCAUCAAAAUAUUUUAUGCAUAUGAUCAAUGAGUGUUUUAGAUCUUAUUCAGAUGAAAGAGGAAGCAAAUACUAGUAUAAGCUUUUCUUGUACUGGUCAUCUAGCUGCAGACUGACCUUUUCUUGAUCAUUAUCUUGACUGCAAUUGGAACGACAACCUCCAAGUACAUCAACAAAUGGCCUAUCAUCACUUAAAACACAUGAGUGUAUCAUUUCAUCCAAAAACAUCCACCCACGAUAGUUAUCAAUCGAGUAACGCUUGUUCUCAUAAGAUAUUUUAGAUUUUACUCUACGUUGAGAAGAUUUCCAUUGUUUGCUUCUCCAUUUCUUCUCAAUGACAAGAGGAUCGUUGGAAGUAAAACCAUACUUCUUACUGAACAUAUCAGUUGAAAACUUCUUUCGUCUAGGUAAAGCUGCAAGAAG